rnacentral:lncRNA from 1 species
GUGAUCACCUGGAUCAGCGGGAGGCAACGUGUGUCAGUUCCCAAGGUGCGUAAUAACACCUUUCGCAUCUUGGAAGGGGCCUGGCUCUGCUCCGCAUUCUCAGGGCGACCCUGUCCCGAAGGCGCCGUGCCUUUCCUUGGACUCAGGCGAUCACCCUUUGCAGUGGGCUCAUCCAAGGGACACUCAAGGGACACCGCACGUAAUCGCGCAGCGGUGGAGCGGAGCCCUCCGGGGACCCCAGCGACCGGGGCCCUGAGACCCGUCCCAAGGCGGGAGACGAGGAGCCGUGCCCGGGACGAGCACUGGACUCCGGGCGGCCUUCGCCCUCGGGUCUGCCCGCCGCGGGGAGGAGCCGGCCUCGGGGUGGAGGCGUCGGCAGCGCGCGGCCGCCAGCAGGGGCGCCAGGUUCAGAGCCGCCGGGGCCGUCGCCGCCAGCCGCGUCCGGGAACCAGACGCCGCGAAGCCGAGUCCCGCUCGGGGGGCAGCCGCGGAGCGCCCCGGGGACACGGGCUCCUGCCUCGGCCUCCGGGGAGCCCCACCUCCCGGCACGCGGCUGCUUGGGGGGGCGAAGGGGAUCGGGGGAAACGGGGGCGCGGAGAGGGCGGGGCUGCGCGGGCGGGAGGGCGGGCGGAAGCGGGGGCGGGGCGGGGGCGGGAGCGGGAGGGGCGGGGCGGGGCGGGGAGCGGGAGGGGCGGGGCGGGGCGGGGAGCGGGAGGGGCGGGGCGGGAGCGGGAGGGGCGGGGCGGGGCGGGGAGCGGGAGGGGCGGGGCGGGCGCCGCGCCUCCGAGCCGCACUCGUGCAGCCCGCACAAUGGAGGCCCCGCCCCCGCCCUCGACCCCGGCCCCGCCCCCCUCCCUCGCCCGCCACCUGAGCCCUCGGGAGGACGCCGCGCUCGCUCCCGGGGCCGACCCCGCCCCCUUGCCCCGCCCCCGCCCCGCAAGGCCCCGCCCCGUCGGCCCCCCGCCCCCGCCCCCCAUGCCCGUCCCGCCCGCGACCCGCCCCCAGCCCCGCCCCCCCUGCCCCCCCUGCCCCCCGCCCCUCCUGCCACCUGAACCCUCGGGCGGACGCCGCGCUCGCUCCCGGGGCCGCCCCGCCCCGCCCCGCGCCCCGCCCAUCGCCCCUCCCUCUCUUCGCCCCCGCCCCGCCCGCCACCUGAGCCCUCGGGCGGACGCAGUGCUCGCUCCCGCGCCCCGCCCCUGCACUCGCCCCGCCCAAGCCCGCCCCGCCCCUCGCCCCGCCCCGCCCCUGCACUCGCCCCGCCCCCGCCCCGCCCGCCCGCCCGCCACCUGA